rnacentral:rRNA from 1 species
AUACGGAGGGUGCCAGCGUUAUUCGGAAUCAUUGGGUGUAAAGCGCGUGUAGGCGGCUUGGAAAGUCAGAUGUGAAAGCUCCGGGCUUAACCCGGAAAGUGCAUUUGAAACUCCCAGGCUUGAGUGCCGGAGAGGAAGGUGGAAUUCCCAGUGUAGAGGUGAAAUUCGUAGAUAUUGGGAGGAACACCGGUGGCGAAGGCGACCUUCUGGACGGACACUGACGCUGAGACGCGAAAGCGUGGGGAGC